GACGAACGCUGGCGGCGUGCUUAACACAUGCAAGUCGAACGAAGUGGCGAACGGGUGAGUAACGUGUAAUCAACCUGCCCUUCAGAGGGGGACAACAGUUGGAAACGACUGCUAAUACCGCAUAAUGAAGGAGGGGAUUGUGUCUGAUUAGCUAUGUGGAGGGGUAACGGCCGACCAAGGCGAUGAUCAGUAGCCGGUCUGAGAGGAUGAACGGCCACAUUGGGACUGUGACACGGCCCAGAAUCCUACGGGAGGCAGCAGUGGGGAAUCUUCCGCAAUGGACGAAAGUCUGACGGAGCAACGCCGCGUGAGUGGUGACGGCCUUCGGGUUGUAAAGCUCUGUUAAUCGGGACGCGGUACCGGAAUAGAAAGCCACGGCUAACUACGUGCCAGCAGCCGCGGUAAUUC
rnacentral:rRNA from 1 species